GAUAUUAGAGUACAUAGGGAUUGGAAACGGGCCGUAGCAACAGGAAAAUGCUAGUUGAUAGUACCGUAAAUAAUUUCUCUAAAUACUCGUAUGUAAAAUUAAAAAUGGCUGAAAGUUGAAGCAGUCUUAUUUUGUGCAGGUAACCCUUCAAUAAUGUUUAGAGACAUUCUUCCUGUUUGCCCAAGCUGUCUGCUGUAGCAAUGUAUCUGCUUGCAGUUUAAAUUCAGUGUUUUAUGAAUUAGCAAUCAUUAUUGAUCACAUUUA